GACGAACGCUGGCGGCGUGCUUAACACAUGCAAGUCGAACGGUGAAGCCCUUCGGGGUGGAUCAGUGGCGAACGGGUGAGUAACACGUGAGCAACCUGCCCCUGACUCUGGGAUAACUACCGGAAACGGUGGCUAAUACCGGAUACGACCUUCCUGCGCAUGUGGGUUGGUGGAAAGUUUUUCGGUCGGGGAUGGGCUCGCGGCCUAUCAGCUUGUUGGUGGGGUGAUGGCCUACCAAGGCGACGACGGGUAGCCGGCCUGAGAGGGCGCCCGGCCACACUGGGAAUGGGACACGGCCCAGACUCCUACGGGAGGCAGCAGUGGGGAAUAUUGCGCAAUGGGCGGAAGCCUGACGCAGCGACGCCGCGUGGGGGAUGAAGGCCUUCGGGUUGUAAACCUCUUUCAGCAGGGAAGAAGCGUGAGUGACGGUACCUGCAGAAGAAGCACCGGCUAACUACGUGCCAGCCGCCGCCGUAA
rnacentral:rRNA from 1 species